UACGUAGGUGGCGAGCGUUAUCCGGAUUUAUUGGGCGUAAAGCGUGCGCAGGCGGUUUGUUAAGUCUAAAAUUAAAUCCCGAAGCUUAACUUCGGUUCGUUUUAGAAACUGGCAGGCUUGAGUAUGGUAGAGGCAAACGGAAUUUCUAGUGUAGCGGUAAAAUGCGUAGAUAUUAGAAGGAACACCAGUGGCGAAGGCGGUUUGCUGGGCCAUUACUGACGCUCAUGCACGAAAGCGUGGGGAGCAAAUAGG
rnacentral:rRNA from 1 species